UACGGGGGGGGUAAGCGUUGUUCGGAAUUACUGGGCGUAAAGGGCUCGUAGGCGGCCAACUAAGUCAGACGUGAAAUCCCUCAGCUUAACUGGGGAACUGCGUCUGAUACUGGAUGGCUUGAGUUUGGGAGAGGGAUGCGGAAUUCCAGGUGUAGCGGUGAAAUGCGUAGAUAUCUGGAGGAACACCGGUGGCGAAGGCGGCAUCCUGGACCAACACUGACACUGAUGAGCGAAAGCCAGGGGAGCAAACAGG
rnacentral:rRNA from 1 species